AUGGUUAAAAAAGUACUAUCUCGAAAACCACACCAUAAAUUGGAGUGAAAAAGAAAAAGAAAGAAAAGUGGGAGCAGAAAGUCUAAAAUGAGAGGGAGAGAGAGAGAGUUUUACGAAAGGAAAAAAAAAAAAAGAGCCCACCUCGCUGAAAAUUCAUCAUAGAUUGUCGGAUGAAACUCGUAGAGCAAGAACUCAACUUGUUGAUGUGUGGACAAAAGCUGUUGGGCAGUACAAGCCACAAGGAGAGUGUUUCCACAGACAAAGCAACCCAACAAAGUAUCAUGAUCACCACAUUAUCUUUUUUCCAGCACACGUUUUUCAGCUUCCUUAAUUGUUUCUUCAACUUUCACUAUCAACCGAAAGAUCCACUGCCACACAAUUUUGGAGCUCCAAAAACCCUUCAUGAUCCACUGCCACACUAUUUUGGAGCUCCAAAAACCCUUCAUGGUAUUGUGUUCACUAUAAUAAUGGCUAACCCCAUCCCCUAUAUCGAAUAUUCUACACAUAUUAUAUUAAUUUUAAACAACAUUUCCAGUCAACAAUUAAAAAAUAUAGCAGCUAUAAUUAAAGAUUUUGCGGGUUAAUUCAUGUGCUUAGCCUACUUGGCAUAAUCCAAUUAUCAAACCCUGGCUUCAACUUCUUUUCUAUGCCUAGCCCCAAUUGAUUUGAAAAGCUAACCGAUCCACGAAGGAAUAUCAAAUUAGUCAAUUUAAUUUUGAUGAGAAACAUCCUAAUCAUUUAAAUUAAUUGCAUUACAGUUUAUGGAUUACACUAGGAUAAUUUUUUAAUAGAAAAUGUCUAAUUACAAAUAUAUUAAAUAUGGUUUUCUCUAGCUGUUUGUUGUCGACCACAAAUGAUCACAAGUGUAUCUAACCUAUUAUUUUUUUGGAGAGAUUAACAUACAAUUAUAUUUCAUAUAUUAUAUGUUAAUCUAUAGCAUCAAUUGCAUAAAUAAGCAUCGGUUGUCAAUCAAUAACAAAAAAAUGAAUACAUAAAGUAAUCAAUAACAAGAACUCCAAAUUGGUCCAUAUUAACUCCAUUUUCUUCCUAACACUUAGUUAUACCUCUUUGUUACUCGAAAUCUAUAAAGUAAUCAAAUAAACACAUAAAAUAUAGAAACAACCUCCAACUAAAUAAAACUAUAUAGCACAUUUAUGAUGCUAUCAACGAUGAAAGCAAUGUUGCGACACCACAAAGUAAUGUCCCAGCACCAGUUCAAACUCCAGAUUUUCUAUUUUACAACAUACCGUGCAGGUAGUGCAUGCCACCUUUUUUAGAAGGGAACAAGAUGUUUGAAGUCAUUAUUGGGAGAAUCCGCGAGGACUACCAAACAUCAAAUUUUAUUAUAAAGCUAUGGAGGUACAAAGGGGGUUGGAGACGAGCCCAAGAAGAAACUUAAGUCUAUGAAAGUCCUAAAAUUUAGUGCUAUGACGUUAGGCCUAUAAUCUUUGAAGAGAGUGUGUCUACUACACCAAACACCUAAAAAUUUCAAGAAUCUUCCCAUAGGAUUAACAUGCUUUUACGAUUGUUGUUGAAAAUUCUUUUAGUUCUCUCAACCCACACGGACCAAAGAAUAGCAACCCCCAUACAUUUGUUUUCUGCUUUUUUGGUUCAUUUGACAUAGAGAAAGGUAAAUUGAUUUAACAUUAUUACCGACAAUAAUUUGUCCAGUCUAAGCUUGAAAUAUUCCCUCAAAGUUCUUUUGCUAAGUUGCAAAGGAUAAAUAGGGAGAACACACUAGUUUGGGUUGAGACAGUCAUUGGGCAUCUUUUUUUUAUGUAAAUUCUCGAAAGUGUCUAGGCCUUCAUGGAUAAUGAACCAAACCAAGAAUUUACAUUACUUUUUGUGUGACAGCCGAUUUCCAUA